UGUGGUGGUGUGUGGUGGGGUGUGGAGGUGGUGUGUGGAGGUGGUGUAGGGGGGUGUGGAGGUGUGUAGUGGUGUGUGGAGGUGGUGUAGUGGUGUGUGGAGGUGGGUGUAGUGGUGUGUGGAGGUGGUGUAGUGGGGUGUGGAGGUGGUGUAGUGGGGUGUGGAGGUGGUGUAGUGGUGUGUGGAGGUGGUGUAGUGGUGUGUGGAGGCGUGUGGAGGUGUAGUGGUGUGUGGAGGUGGUGUAGUGGUGUGUGGAGGUGGUGUAGUGGGGUGUGGGAGGUGGUGUAGUGGUGUGUGGAGGUGUGUAGUGGUGUGUGGAGGUGGUGUAGUGGUGUGUGGAGGCGUGUGGAGGUGGUGUAGUGGUGUGUGGAGGUGUUGUAGUGGGGUGUGGAGGUGGUGUAGUGGUGUGUGGAGGUGUGUAGUGGGGUGUGGAGGGGGUGUAGUGGUGUGUAGUGGUGUGUGGAGGCGUGUGGAGGUGGUGUAGUGGGGUGUGGAGGUGGUGUAGUGGUGUGUGGAGGUGUGUAGUGGUGUGUGGAGGUGGUGUAGUGGGGUGUGGAGGCGUGUGGAGGUGGUGUAGUGGUGUGUGGAGGCGUGUGGAGGUGGUGUAGUGGUGUGUAGUGGUGUGUGGAGGUGGUGUAGUGGUGUGUGGAGGUGGUGUAGUGGGGUGUGGAGGUGGUGUAGUGGUGUGUGGAGGUGGUGUAGUGGUGUGUGGAGGUGUGUAGUGGUGUGUGGAGGUGUGUAGUGGUGUGUGGAGGUGUGUGGUGGUGUGUGGAGGUGUGUGGAGGCGUGUGAGGUGGUGGUAGUGGGGUGUGGAGGUGUGUAGUGGUGUGUGGAGGUGGUGUAGUGGGGUGUGGAGGCUUGUGGAGGUGUUGUAGUGGGGUGUGGAGGUGGUGUAGUGGGGUGUGGAGGUGGUGUAGUGGGGUGUGGUGGUGUGUGGAGGUGGUGUAGUGGGGUGUGGUGGUGUAGUGGGGUGUGGGUGUGGAGGGAUAAGAUGAGAUGAGUUCUGUUCUGAUGAGAUGAGAUCUGUUCAGAUGAGAUGAAAUGAG
ensembl:lncRNA